rnacentral:lncRNA from 1 species
CGACAGCUGCCUCUGGAUCAAGUAGUUUGCCUAACAUAGAAAGGAAGGAAGGAAGGAAGGAAGGAAGGAAGGAAGGAAGGAAGGAAGGAAGGAAGGAAGGAAGGAAGGAAGGAAGGAAGGAAGGAAGGAAGGAAGGAAGGAAGGAAGGAAGAAAGGAAGGAAGGAAGGAAGGAAGGAAGGAAGGAAGGAAGGAAGGAAGGAAGGAAGGAAGGAUCUACUUUGUGCCAGGUAUUGUGCUAAGUGCUUUAUAAAUAUUAUCUUAUUUAAUCUUCACUACAACCCUUGGAGGUAGGUGCUAUUUAUUAUUAUCCCCAUUUUAUGGUUGAGCAAAUUGAGGCAGAGAGGUUAAGUGUCUUGACCAGGGUCACAUAGCUAGUAUGUGUCUAAAUCCAGACAUCUUCCUGACUCCAGGCCUAGUGCUCUGUCCAUUUUACCACCUAGUCGCCUCUAACAUCAACAAAGCCAGGAUUUUGAUUUUCAAAAAAC